rnacentral:tmRNA from 1 species
GGGGGCGAAAUAGGAUCGACACGCGUGGUAAAGGCAUGGUCUUCGCCCGGCAUGGUUCCGCCGUUAUCGGGCCAUUGCAAUAGUUGCCAACGACAACGUUGCUCCGGUCGCCGUUGCCGCCUAACGGCGGUGACUGACCGAAAUCAAUCCCCGAUGGGUAGCACCUGAGGGUGGGGCCGUGGGCCGCCUAGCAACAGAAGGCCCACAC